CCUUCGAACAGAUGGAUCUCGAGUCUACAGUGUAGAGACACUAGAGUUUGAGUACAGGUGAUUGUUAGAGAAUAAUUAGCACUGAGCGUGACCAACAUGAGAAGUCAUAUGGAUAUCUGCUCACUUGUUAGUGACUUUCUCAAUGCUGCAGUUGUAUGACUGGUCCUUUGAUCUGAGAUGACACUACUGCUCGCAGUGAGGCUGCUGAUGUUUGACUGAUACAUCAACAUGGAUCUCAAGGAGCGCUUGUAGUAGAUGUUAGCGAUAGUUGAUCCACUAUAGGAGUGGGGUGUGCAUUAAGAUGGAAUCUAUUGAUCCUAGUGGAAGGGAGUAGUCCUAUGGGAUUUAAGAGGCUGGGUCCUUAAGUCUAUGGCCAUAACAAUGUGAUUGAUGGAAAAAAGUUUUCAUAGAAUCACAUAUGGACUUAAACUAAUUGAAUCUAUCAUAUGAUCGAUGUUGAGAUUUGAUGAUUUAUCCAUGACAUGUCAUUUAGUCGGAACUCACGAUAAAGGGACUGAAUCACACGUUAACUACACCUAGAGGUUCAUUUUAGUUCUACUAGGUUGCCACUAUAUUUGCUAGGUGUCACUAGUGGAUUGUGAGAGCUCACUAAGGUUAUUCUGGAUCGA
rnacentral:lncRNA from 1 species